rnacentral:lncRNA from 1 species
AAAGGUGUGGUCGUGAGCAUCGUUCAGUGCAGCUCGGUGUAGAGUCGAGGGCGAUGUGCAGCGGAACGUGGAGGUUGGGUCACGGUGAUUUUCGGUGGCGGUGCGUCGUCAGCGGAGACGGCGGCAGUGCUGUCGAUGAGACGACGUCUGUGAUGUCGUUAGCAGGAAGGGUGGCGACGGAAAAAAGAAGUGAAGGGUGCUAUCUUGAAAGAAGAAAAAGGGUCACUCUUCCAAAAAAAUGCUAUCUUUUUUUGGUAGUGAGUAGAAAAAGAAAUAUAUCUCCCUCCCUCCUCUCGUUCUCCUUUUUGGAAUUUUCAGCCAGUGCCUUCUUUUCAACAGUAGUGGCCUCCCCCUUUUCUUUCUUGGAAUUCCCCGAG